GAACUGAAGAGUUUGAUCCUGGCUCAGAUUGAACGCUGGCGGUAUGCUUAACACAUGCAAGUCGAACGGUAACGAUGGAAGCUUGCUUCCAGGCGACGAGUGGCGGACGGGUGAGUAACGCGUAGGAAUCUGCCUAGUAGUGGGGGACAACUCGGAGAAAUCCGAGCUAGUACCGCAUACGCCCUACGGGGGAAAGCGGGGGAUCUUCGGACCUCGCGCUAUUAGAUGAGCCUGCGUCGGAUUAGCUUGUUGGUGAGGUAAUGGCUCACCAAGGCGACGAUCCGUAGCUGGUCUGAGAGGACGAUCAGCCACACUGGGACUGAGACACGGCCCAGACUCCUACGGGAGGCAGCAGUGGGGAAUAUUGGACGAGGGGCGCGAGCCUGAUCCAGCAAUACCGCGUGUGGGGAGGAGGCCUGCGGGGUGUAAAGCACUUUCAAUUGUGAAGAAAAGCCUA
rnacentral:rRNA from 1 species